GGGGGCGAACUGUGUGAGUAACCACGUGGGAAACCUGCCCAGAAGCGGGAGAUAAACACCUGGAAACAGAUGCUUAAUACCGCAUAACAACUUGGACCGCAUGGUCCGAGCUUGAAAGAUGGCUUCGGCUAUCACUUUUGGAUGGUCCCGCGGCGUAUUAGCUAGAUGGUGGGGUAACGGCUCCACCAUGGCAAUGAUACGUAGCCGACCUGAGAGGGUAAUCGGCCACAUUGGGACUGAGACACGGCCCAAACUCCUACGGGAGGCAGCAGUAGGGAAUCUUCCACAAUGGACGAAAGUCUGAUGGAGCAACGCCGCGUGAGUGAAGAAGGGUUUCGGCUCGUAAAACUCUGUUGUUAAAGAAGAACAUAUCUGAGAGUAACUGUUCAGGUAUUGACGGUAUUUAACCAGAAAGCCACGGCUAACUACGUGCCAGCAGCCGCGGUAAUACGUAGGUGGCAAGCGUUGUCCGGAUUUAUUGGGCGUAAAGCGAGCGCAGGCGGUUUUUUAAGUCUGAUGUGAAAGCCUUCGGCUCAACCGAAGAAGUGCAUCGGAAACUGGGAAACUUGAGUGCAGAAAGAGGACAGUGGAACUCCAUGUGUAGCGGUGAAAUGCGUAGAUAUAUGGAAGAACACCAGUGGCGAAGGCGGCUGUCUGGUCUGUAACUGACGCUGAGGCUCGAAAGUAUGGGUAGCAAACAGGAUUAGAUACCCUGGUAGUCCAUACCGUAAACGAUGAAUGCUAAGUGUUGGAGGGUUUCCGCCCUUCAGUGCUGCAGCUAACGCAUAAGCAUUCCGCCUGGGGAGUACGGCCGCAAGGCUGAAACUCAAAGGAUUGACGGGGGCCCGCACAAGCGGUGGAGCAUGUGGUUUAAUUCGAAGCUACGCGAAGAACCUUACCAGGUCUUGACAUACUAUGCAAAUCUAAGAGAUUAGACGUUCCCUUCGGGGACAUGGAUAACAGGUGGUGCAUGGUUGUCCGUCAGCCUCGUGUCGUGAGAUGUUGGGUUAAGUCCCGCAACGAGCGCAACCCUUAUUAUACAGUUGCCAGACAUAAAGUUGGGCACUCUGGUGAGACUGCCGGUGACAAACCGGAGAAAGGUGGAGAUGACGUCAAAUCAUCUAUGCCCCUUAUGACCUGGGCUACACACGUGCUACAAUGGAUGUGCACAACGAGUGUGCGACAUCUCAGCGAGAGAUAAGCUAAUCUCUUAAAGCCAUUCUCAGUUCGGAUUGUAGGCUGCAACUCGCCUACAUGAAGUCGGAAUCGCUAGUAAUCGCGGAUCAGCAUGCCGCGGUGAAUACGUUCCCGGGCCUUGUACACACCGCCCUCUCUUCCUAGAGUUUGUAACACCCAAAGUCGGUGGGGUAACUUUAGAACCAGCCGCUU
rnacentral:rRNA from 1 species